UAAAGAGCUCCCGGUCGUAGGGGCGAGGU
rnacentral:sRNA from 1 species